GACGAACGCUGGCGGCGUGCUUAACACAUGCAAGUCGAACGGAAAGGCCCUGCGUUUGUUGGGUGCUCGAUUGGCGAAGGGGUGAGUAACACGUGAGUAACCUGCCCUUGACUUUGUGAUAACUUCAGGAAACUGGGGCUAUUAUCGGAUAUGAUAUCCUGCUGCGUGGUGUGGGUUGGAAAGUUUCGGCGGUGGGGGAUGGACUCGAGGCUUACGAGCUUGUUGGUGUGGUAGUGGCUUACCAAGGCUUUGACGGGUAGCCCGCCUGAGAGGGUGACCGGGCACCUUGGGACUGCGGGACGGAGCAGUAGGGAAUGGGACGCAGCAGGCGGGAACAUUGCACAACGGGCGGAAGCCUGAGGCAGAAACCCCGCGUGCGGGAAGCCCGCUUUCGGGUUGUAAACAGAUUUCGCAGGAGACGAGGCGUGAGUGACGGUACUGGGUAAAGAAGCACCGGCUAACUACGUG
rnacentral:rRNA from 1 species